rnacentral:rRNA from 1 species
CCUACGGGAGGCAGCAGUGGGGAAUAUUGGGCAAUGGAGGAAACUCUGACCCAGCAACGCCGCGUGAAUGAUGAAGGUCUUCGGAUUGUAAAGUUCUUUUAGAAGGGAAGAAGAAAGUGACGGUACCGUAGGAAUAAGCGUGGGCUAACUACGUGCCAGCAGCCGCGGUAAUACGUAGGAGGCGAGCGUUAUACGGAAUGACUGGGCGUAAAGGGUGCGUAGGUGGUUUGGGAAGUUAGUAGCGUAACUCCAUGGCUCAACCUUGGAACUCCUACGAAAACUGUUGGCCUUGCGUGCAGGAGGGGCAACCGGACUUCCUAGUGUCGCGGUGGAAUGCGUAUCUAUUAG